rnacentral:rRNA from 1 species
GAUCAUGGCUCAGAUUGAACGCUGGCGGCAGGCCUAACACAUGCAAGUCGAACGGUAACAGAAAGCAGCUUGCUGCUUUGCUGACGAGUGGCGGACGGGUGAGUAAUGUCUGGGAAACUGCCUGAUGGAGGGGGAUAACUACUGGAAACGGUAGCUAAUACCACAUAACGUCGCAAGACCAAAGAGGGGGACCUUAGGGCCUCUUGCCAUCGGAUGUGCCCAGAUGGGAUUAGCUAGG